UACGGAGGGUGCAAGCGUUAUCCGGAUUUAUUGGGUUUAAAGGGUCCGUAGGCGGAUUAAUCAGUCAGUGGUGAAAUCUCAUAGCUUAACUAUGAAACUGCCAUUGAUACUGUUAGUCUUGAGUAAUGUUGAAGUUGCUGGAAUGUGUAGUGUAGCGGUGAAAUGCUUAGAUAUUACGCAGAACACCAAUUGCGAAGGCAGGUGACUAAACAUUAACUGACGCUGAUGGACGAAAGCGUGGGGAGCGAACAGG
rnacentral:rRNA from 1 species